rnacentral:rRNA from 1 species
GAAGUUUGAUCCUGGCUCAGGAUGAACGCUGGCGGCGUGCCUAAUACAUGCAAGUCGAGCGAAUGGAUUAAGAGCUUGCUCUUAUGAAGUUAGCGGCGGACGGGUGAGUAACACGUGGGUAACCUGCCCAUAAGACUGGGAUAACUCCGGGAAACCGGGGCUAAUACCGGAUAACAUUUUGAACCGCAUGGUUCGAAAUUGAAAGGCGGCUUCGGCUGUCACUUAUGGAUGGACCCGCGUCGCAUUAGCUAGUUGGUGAGGUAACGGCUCACCAAGGCAACGAUGCGUAGCCGACCUGAGAGGGUGAUCGGCCACACUGGGACUGAGACACGGCCCAGACUCCUACGGGAGGCAGCAGUAGGGAAUCUUCCGCAAUGGACGAAAGUCUGACGGAGCAACGCCGCGUGAGUGAUGAAGGCUUUCGGGUCGUAAAACUCUGUUGUUAGGGAAGAACAAGUGCUAGUUGAAUAAGCUGGCACCUUGACGGUACCUAACC